rnacentral:tRNA from 1 species
GCCUGGCCAGCUCAGUGGGUAGAGCAUGUGACUCUUGAUCUUGGGGUCGUGAGUUCAAGUCCUACAUUGGGCA